rnacentral:lncRNA from 1 species
CCUGCAGUGUUGGUAUACGAGGCGCGUUUAUGAUUUUCAUUAUGUUAUUUGAUAUGAAAAAUUGACAAAAAAUAAUAUUUUAUUUGUAAAAGUAAAUCAUGAGCCUGUAAUACCUGCUCUUCUUGUUCCAUUUGAAUUAAUAGAAACAACGCUGUCGCCUUUCUUGUUCUCAUAGAAUCAUAUGAUAUGAGCUCCAUGUUUUGUGAACGUCUUUCUUAACUGUCGUAUUAGACUGACCAGUGCAUAUCGCGCAUGGCACUUUAAAUGUAUUUAAGCGCGAAAAUUAACUUACAUUUAGCUGGAUUUAUUGCCGUCGUAGUUCCAUCUUGUCACCUUCGUACUUUUAUUCGAUGGCAUUACGACGGGAUUACGAGGUCUUCACGAAGUCGUGUUGCCAUCGUAAGACCUUCGGGUAGCUUCGUGAUUCAUUCGUGUAAACAUCGUAAUGUCAAAACUGCCCGAUGGAAACGAUGGAAACACGAAUGCAAUACGAUGUUCAAAGAUGCAUUCCCGGUGACAUUACGAUGGUGAGGAUGUUGAUACGAACUCAAUACGAACCCUCAACAUCGGACGCACCUUCGGGGAUUUUUUAACAUGUUAAAAAAUUUAGAACCCUUCCCGAAGUUGUCCCCGAAGGCUAGAAAAAGUGGUCGAUGGUUCUACGAUGGUGAAAGAUGGCACUACGAAUAGCCCGAUCUGGAUACGAUCAG